AAUGUUAUUAGAUGUUGAUGUAAAUACAUUUAUAACAUAUUCAUCAAUUUUUAUGUAUGUCAGAUUAAAUUUACAACAUAUAUAUAUCAUCUAUCACCACUAAAGUAAAGUAUUAGUUUACUUUAUCCAUCGAGAGAUUAGGACAGAUAAUCUCAAUUUCUCAAUUAUCUAAAACCCUAAUUUCACCCUCCAUUAAACUGUAUACUCUCAGCUCAUCUCUGGAUCUGACUAUAGAAUCACUUGUAAAUGGAAGUAUUUCAGUGAAACCAGUGGCAAUUCUGUAAUUUACCUACUCUGUGAAGGUGUUUUUUUGUCAUUUUGGGGUGGUCGUUCAAUGGCAAGUAUGAGUGGCGUCGGUGCCACGUGUAAGUCGGAAGCUACAGUGCUUACUGAUCACUUUCCUGUAGGGUUAAGAGUACUUGUGGUUGAUGAUGAUGUUGUUUGUCUUCGAAUUAUUGAACAAAUGCUUCGUAGAUGCAAGUAUUCAGUCACUACUUGUACCCGAGCUACUGUGGCAUUAAACCUAUUACGUGAAAGGAGGGAGACUUUUGAUAUUGUACUGAGUGAUGUUCAUAUGCCUGAUAUGGAUGGUUUUAAACUUCUUGAGCUUGUUGGAUUGGAAAUGGACCUUCCAGUAAUAAUGAUGUCAGGUGAUGGGAGAACAAACCUCGUCAUGAGGGGAGUUCAACAUGGGGCUUGUGAUUAUUUGAUUAAGCCUAUACGGGACGAGGAGCUAAAGAAUAUCUGGCAGCAUGUUGUUAGGAAAAGAUAUAACUCCAAUAAAGAGCAUGAAUGUUCUGGUAGCUUGGAUGAUAAUGAUCGGUAUAAGCGAGGAAGUGAUGAUGUGGAAUGUGCUUCUUCUGUAGUUGAAGGUGCAGAUGGAGUGAUAAAACCUCAGAAAAAGAAAAGAGAAGCCAAAGAAGAUGACACUGAAGUGGAAAAUGAUGACCCAGGUACCACAAAAAAGCCACGCGUAGUCUGGUCAGUGGAGCUUCAUCAGCAAUUUGUUAGUGCAGUCAACCAACUUGGCAUUGAUAAGGCUGUACCUAAAAGAAUCCUUGAACUGAUGAAUGUUCCUGGUUUGACGAGAGAAAAUGUGGCAAGCCAUCUGCAGAAAUUUAGGCUAUACUUGAAGAGGCUAAGUGGAGUAGUUCAACAACAGGGUGGCAUACCCAGUACCUUUUGUGGGCCAAUGGAACAGAAUUCAGAACUUGUUUCACUAGGGAGAUUUGACAUUCAAGCACUGGCAGCCUCUGGACAAAUUCCUCCUGAAACUUUGACAGCUCUCCAUGCCGAGCUUUUAGGUAGAUCGACAAGUAACUUGGUUUUACCAGCAGUAGAGCAACAGAAUCUCCUACAAGCUUCCUUGCAGCAAGCAAAGUGCAUGCCUGUUGACCAACUUGUGGCUUAUGGUCAGCCUCUGUUGAAAUGCCCUCCCAGCAUUUCUAAUUCUAAACAUCCUUCUCAAUCUAUCUUGUCAGCUGCGGAUGUUCAUUCAGGAUUUGGAUCCCAGCGAGCAAAAAAUAUAUGCAUGGUACCUAGCAGCAAUCCCACUGGGAUAGCUGCUCCGAACAGCAACAUGUUUAUGGCAAUGAUGCAACAUCAGCAACAAUGGCAAAAGCAGCAGCAGCUGGAACUGCGACAUAGGCAAUCUGGACCUCUUGAAUCCAACUAUUCAAUUAAUGUUCAACCUUCUUGCGUAGUAUUGCCCUCUCAGUCGCCUGGUAAUUUCCAAGUGGGAGAUAGUCCUGCUUCCAUGAGCCGUGCCAACAGUCUAAGUAAAUCUUCGGUGGUUGAUUAUGGAGUUCUCUCUCCACAAUCAAAUAAUUCAUCAGGUGUGAUUCAAGUGUUAGACAGGGAACUCAGACCAGAAUGUGGCUCAAACAGGCUCUCAAGUGGAGGUUCCCUCUCUUGUUCAUGCUCGAUAAAUGCUGAUAAUAGUGUUGGUCUGCAAUUUCAUAACUCGAGCUCAGCAUUUGGUUCUUCUAAACAACUUCCAGGCCUUAACCCAAAUCAUUUGGGCUCGCCAGUUCCAUAUAAUAUUAACUCAAGCCAGGUUCUUGAUCAGGGACAUAUAAGAAAUCCUGUGGUUGGUAAAGGUGCCUCCAUUCCCAGUCGCUUUGCAGUAGAUGAGUGUGAAUCGGCAAUGUGCAAUUUGAAUACUGCAAAAAGCUAUCUCGAGGACGCUAAAGUUAAGCAGGAGCCUAAUAUGAAUCUCAUGGAAAAUUGCUAAAGUUGGUCCAGCAAAUUUUCAAAAAUUUCAACCUGGUGAUCUUAUGAGUGUCUUCAGUGACUAGGGUCGUCUUUUGUCCUUGGGAAAGUGUCAAGUUCCCCAUGAAUCAUAACGUUUAGUUCUGCCAGUAAAUCUCUGCAAGAUCCAACUGUGAAGUCUUAUAUUUAUAUGAGGGUUUCACCUAUAGUUUGAAUUGCAGAAAUGUAGGUAAAGGCUUUUUGCCUGUAUAUUUAUCAAUCUAAUAUUUAGGAAAUGAAUGUGGAUGCAGUAUAAUACUUCCUCUGGAAGUAUUUGUUGUUGUGCAUGUAUUCUUCUGCAACUCUUUCCACUACUUACUAGAAAUAAAUUUGUAUUAAGAAUUUCAAUAGAGUUCAAAAUAUCCCCCCUUGAUUGCACCUUCCCCUUGUGAUUGGGCAGUUAUUCAAGAUUUAGUGUUGUGUUGUGUAGUGAAAAAAGAUGUCAAUUAUGAAACUGAAAUGCAUACCAAAUUGUGUUUGUUUUUCCUUUUUGUUUUCA